CUAUACUGGUAAUAAGUUAUUGAAUGUUGGCAGGUACAUAAUCGUAUCGGGAGUCAAAUAAAAGGAAAGUGGCCUUUGAUGAAUCAAUGGACUAAACCCAUUAAUGUAAAUAAGCAAAAAGAAGAAAGAGACAAAAAAAACCUACUCUUUUUUUCGACCAAAAUCCCACGCAGCAUCAAGGAGAAGAUCGAAUAAGAAUUUGGGCUUUCAUUUAAUCCACAAUACAACAAAAGAAGAAAAGGGAGCUGGAUGGAUUUUGGUUUUGGUGGGCCGAAAGGGACGCAUCACAAGGAAAGAAAGGGUUUGGCAGGAGGGGAACUCUAGGGGGGACGGAGAAGACAACCAGAAGAGAAGGAGGGAAGCGGAAGGCGGCAGAGUUCGACGAAGGAAGACGAAGGCAGCAGUACAACAACGUCAAUUCGAGCCUUCCGUCAGAUUUUUCAGCCAUGGUUUCUUAUAAUUGGGUGAUAUUCUCUUCAACUAUGAGUAGCUAUUUUUUCUAUUCUAGGGCCUAGAUGAAACCCAUAUUAGUAUGAUUUGAUAAUUUAGUUUUGUUUGGGAAUUGAUUAUGGUUUAUGAUUGCAUAACUAUAGAGAUUAUUGUUAAGUUUAUUUAUUGUUUGCAAUAUAGAUUGAUUAUUAUUCUUGUAGAAUGAUUUAUUAGUUUAUAUUGUUAUCAAAUUCACACACUUUGUUCUUGUAGUUCAAAGAGUGAUGUUAUGCAAUGGUAUUUCAUGAAUUGUUGUUGAAAAGUUGAAUAAUUUAUGCUUUAGUUAGAUAAGUUAUGUCACCUAAUUAAUCACAACACUAUCUGGUUGGAAGUAAUCCCAACUUGUAGUUUAGGUAGCUUGAUAAACCAAUUAAAUCUCACUCAAACUAAGUUGUUAAUCAUAUUGAUAGUGGUGGAUUCGAAUGUCCUAGAAGUUCCUCCGUACUAUUUGUUGUCCGUGAAUUUUAGUAAUUUAUUAUUUUAGUAUUACAAUUUAAGUCGAAUUAGUUUAAUUGUCAUAACCACAUCAAUCAUUUUAUUUUCUUAGGAUUAAAUUAGUAGACGUUGAAUUAAACAUUAACCCACGUUCCCUGUGGGUACGAUACCCUAUUAUUUAUCACUAUCUACUAGAUCUUGUACACUUGCAAGAAUAGGGUUUUAAAGCUUGUUCAAAAUUGCUAUCAUCGGUUCUUAUGAUACAUGACACUCUUUCAUUGGUUUAAGUAAAAUGAAAUUAAGGUCUUACAGAAGAGUAUCAUGUGUCAUGGUUAACCGAUUUAACAAAAAUAAAAUUGAGUUAUGGAUCCCUUUAUGGAGGGACUGAAAGUUUGGACGGUUAUGAGAUAAUCAAAAGUUGGGACCUUGUAAAGCAAUCCAGCUACUGUAGGGACUAAUGAUAUCAUUUUUUACUUCAUAAAAUUUUAUAUCUUUUUGGCCUUUCCAACCUAUCUUUUGUGUGCCACCUUUAUCAUAAUGAGCAGCAUUAGACGGGAGCUUCGUAUUUAUUGUGAUUUAUCUUUUGAUGUGCUUCUGUGGUUCUAUUUCUUGCUUCUUUUUACCUUUGCUUCCCUUUUCUGUCUUUGUACUGGCAUGUCUUCAGCUUUCAUGCACAAGUAUAACAUAGCUUACAUGGUCUCUUUAUUCUACUAUGUCUUAGUUCUAUUAAUUUUCUUCAUGGCACUGCUCUUAACUAUUUAUCCACUGAAUUAUUGUUUAUAUAAUAUUCUAAUUUCUCCUAAAGUAAUUGUCACAUUAUUUAUUUGGAUAUGUCUAUAGGUCUGAUAUAGCUGAACAGAGUGGAGAAGUUUCAAGAUCAAUUGCUGGCCCAGGUUUUGUCGCCUGCUUAUUGUUUCAAUGGAACACUAUGCUCAUCCUGAACUGCACGUGGAGAGAAACCCAUUGCCUCGUGUACAUGCUGGUGUUACUAGUCCAACGGACUUGAUAUCAUUGCAUAUGGUGCACCGGAGCAGUCUGUAGAAGGAAUGAAGGUUGUUUGCCACGAGAUGGCACAGGCCACGAAUGAACCUGAUGGAAGUGCAAUGGAUGAUAUUGUAAGGGACGCAGACCGGCUUGUCUCAAUCUUAGACAAUAAGGUUGCAAAGACAUUUGACUUCAGUCUAACUGGCGCUUCUUCGAGAUCUUGUAAAUAUGUCUUAAACACGCUGAUGCAGGUGGUACUCUACCUGUAGAUAUUCUUCUUGCAGCAUCUUUUGCUAGAAUUUAUGAUAUUCCUUUGUUGCUCUUUUGAUGAUGUUUAGUGUACUACAGACGUUUCAAAAUAAGACUCUAGCUCAUUGUCAAGGAGAGCCCUCUUGACAAUCUAAUUACUGAACUUCUGCUUUGACUUUUGGAUGAACGGGUUCCCCGCAUGGAUGAUGGUUACCAACUUCUGAAAGCUUUGAAUGUUUUGAUGCUCAAGAUCUUGGUCCAUCUGCACUGGCCUGUGGCUGCUCUGUUUCAUCACCGUUGUUCUAUUCUAUCUGAAGUAAUGACAUUGUAUGCAGGAUAAUGCCGAUCAAAUGGCCAGCGCCAGCAUCAAAUGAAGCCUUUGCUGUCAGAAAUCAGAAUUUCUCUGAUCUUGUUGUCAAAUGUCUGAUCAAACUAACAAAGGAUUUUGCAGAUUUGUAGCAACUCCAAUUCUUCUGUUCCAAGGAUGCUACAUUCAGGUGGAUUAAAAAAGGCACUUGAACACUUAAAAGCUGCCUUCUUCUUUGCUUAAAGAGGUGCUGGAUCAUUUUUGGUCCAUAGCAUGCUUGAUGCUUCUGUGAAUUCUCUUGAUUACUUAUUUACAACACGAUCCUAUUUCAGUGCAUUGAGAUGAAUCAGAGCUGGUCGAUGUAGAUUUAUCAAAUAUAGGGAGUUAUACUUUAUACUCAAAGUGCAAUAUCGUGUAAAUGCUAUGGAUCUGUGUACUAGGAUCAAUAUGGCUAGCGUAGAAAUACUCUUUCCCUCUUUUCUCUCUCCUGUUAAGGUAAUUCUUCUUCUUCUCUCUCUUCCUCUUUUCUUAUUUUACUUUAUCGUUUGUGUUUAGAUCUAGGUCGCCGAAUUUAGUCUCAUUUUACCUUUUUAAUGCUCAAUUCGACAUCAAAUUCAUUUGUUUUUACGGAUUCUACAACCUAUCUAUCACUGGAACUUGAUUUUCUUUUGUUAUGGUUUAGUAAAGAGACUACAUUGUAUUAUUAUGUUGUUUUAUAAUAAUGAAAUACAAGAAACUAUUUAUACUUAAACUAAUUUCAUCAACUAAAACUAAUUUUCCUUGUAUUAAGGAAACCAAGUAACAAACUUUGUAACCAUCUAUAUAUUCCAACAAAUUGAUGAUCAUAUCACCGAUUACAACCUAGCCACUCCUUCGAGAGAAAUGACACUCCCCAAGCUAACACUACUAAUCUUUCACCACAAUUUUCAACCUGCUUUCUUCUUUUUCAUUACCAGUAUAUAGACUACCUUAAUUCCCUAACAAGUUCUCUAUGAAAAAUACGAAUCGGAAGUGGAUAUUUCUUUCGUGCAUGGAUCCUGAUCGAGCUUGGCUCUUCCUUGCUUCUCUCGCCUUUAUUUGUGUGCAGGAGCUCGAGGUUUGGAGCAUUUUUUUCAGCUGAUAAUGUAGUCUUUAUUUGGUUUAUUAUUUGCAAAUGCGGCUGUUUUUACAAUGUGGCAAGUCUACCUCAAGACUUUAUGCUUAAAAACUUUACGAUUUCAAUGGACAACCUUUAGUGUGGACGUAUACACACGAUGCUAACUUGUGCAUUCAGCCACUUAAGCAUGGGACAUCUUGCAUCUAAUAUGAUCAAUCUCUUCUGCUUUUGCAGUAGUGUUUCAUAUCUACAGGGAAGAUGACAUACUUGGUACUCUACAUGAUUGAUUUCAGUUCAUUGGUAGUUUCGUGCGACACUAAAUCCAGCGUGUAGGAGUUUUCAGUUCAGUGGUGGUUUCCUGUCACACUAAAUCCUGCGUUUUGGAGCUUCCAGUUCAGUGGUGGUUUCCUGGCACACCUAUCAAUUACUGAUUAGUAAUUCCAUGCAGAGUAGCAUUUACUAACAGUACCUUUGGUUAUGGUGGUUAUGGUGCGCACAGUGUGGUUUGAAACCUGGUUCUUAAAAACAAGCCUUCGGACCUGUAAAUCGAUUCUUAAAGCCUGUGAGACUUUGUUUAAGGAGGCUAAUACUAAUGAUGGAUUAAAGUCUAAAUGAAAAUGACAUUCUCUAACAACAUGUUAUUUAUGUUGUGCUAGAUCUAAACAUAACUUAAUUUUUUUUGGCAUGCCUUGUGACUAUUGUAAUUCAUGCUUAGGAGCCUCGAUAAUUUUGUUUGUUCGCUUUUUUGCUGAAUUGAAUGGAAUAUUUGGUUGCACUUUUGCCCCCUUGGUUGUUAACUAUGUACAUCUAUUACAUAGUUGUAAAUUCUAUGGCUUUGCAAAACUAACUAUCUCUUGGCUUUCCUUUAGGAAUUUCCUUGACUCUCAUCAAUCAGAUUUCAUUAGUUUACAAGGCUACAAGGCAACACCUGGUAAGCUUUUCCUUGGCUCUCCUUGUGUAGCUUACUUAGAUGUUUGUUUAAGCCAUGCUUGCUCAAUCAUGUUUUGUUUGGAAAUGUGUUUGCUCUUUGUUGUUGUUCUUGUGGUUUAUAUGCUCCUUUUUUACUGCUUAUUUUAGUUGUGUUCCAGUAUGCAUGAUUGUGCUCUCUUAGAUUCUAGUUUUUUUACUGCUUAUUUUUGUUCUGUUCCGGUGCUCUCUUAGAGUCACCUGUUUUGACUUUUUCUUACUGCUUAUUUUUGCUCUGUUCCAGUAUGCAUGAUUGUGCUCUCUUAGAAUCACAUGUUCUAGCUUUUUACGAAAUAAAAAUAUCGUGCCUUCUAUGUGUUUGGAAAAUGCAGUGGAUAUGUUGUAUUGCUUGUGGUCCUUGACUAUUAGGAGAUAAGUCUUUCGUUUGAGUAUAAAUCUAUAUAGGUUUAUUGUUAAAUAUAAUGUAUGCAAAGAGAUUUUGCUUGGUGUUAGAAAUAAUGGUUUAUUGUCUCUGGAGCUACUUAUAAAAAGGAUGGACAAAGAACUUUUUUAGAUUGGUUGCAUUCCGCUAUAAAGAACAAAUUGAACGCAUUUGAAGAAGAUGGCAGCAGAACAAAGCAGAAGCAGGUCAAGCACCUAUCAUCAUGGUUCAUAAAAUUUAGUUGCUUUUCUUUGUAAAUCAUUUGUUAGGUAGAGCUAUGAUAGAAAUUAUGUGUUUUGUAGUGGUACAACACUGUUCUUGACCUUGCUAUUAGUUUGGGUGAAUACACAAUUCAUUUGGUCU